rnacentral:lncRNA from 1 species
CUCACAGGUCAAAUUAAUGAUUAUUUUAAACCUAAUUAUCACGACAAAGAGUUCAAAAUAAUUAAAAAUCUAAUCCGAAAUCUUACGGAUCAAAUUAAUAAUUACAUUGAUUUAACAACCAAAAUACCAUCAAAAAGCCUGAAACUUAAUAUAAUUAAAAAAUUGAUCCGAUGUCUCUCGGAUCAAAUUAAUAAUUACAAUAAGUUCGGACAAAAUCCUUACGUAUAAUGCCUACAAAAUGCACAAAUAUUAAUAUUGACAAAUCAUAUUCUAACUUAAACAAUAAUAACAAAAUUUAAAAUGAAUAAAUAAUAAAAUAAAGAAAAACAAACUACCUAAUUUGCUUUUCUCUUUUUCUUUUAUUUUUGUUUUUCUUUUUCCUUUGUUUCCAAAAGAAAAGCUCGGCAGCUCGUGCGGCUGGUCACCGGGAACUCCGGCGAAGGCGGACCGGCAGGAACGGGGCGGCACCCGAGCAGCAGGGACAACCGGCGGAACAGGGGUGUCGCAAUCAGAGGUUGCGGAGGUGCGGAGCUCCGGCGAGAUCUGGCAAUUCGGAGGGGGGUGCCGCUGGUGCUCGAGCAAAUCUGGGCAGAGGAUCUGAGCGGAUCGGACUCCAGUGGAGGCGCUGCAGGUGUCGGGGCAGAGCAGCAAGGGCAAGCGGGACCGGCUUCUCUGGCGUUGGUGGUGGAGUCCGGCAGCUUGAUCGGCGUCUGGACGGGUGAUGGAGUGGCGAGGGCUGGCGUCGGCCUCCUGGGUCGCAAACAGCAGCGACUUCGCGGGCCGGCGCGGGCUUUCAGAUGCGAUGGCGCUCGGAGAAGGGACUUCGAUCGCUGGUCUUCGGGUUGAGGCGGACCAGCAGCGAAACAAGGAAAUCCGGCGUCGCGGGGGCUGUAGGCGGUCACCGAUCUGCUGGUGACGAGCUGCGGUGGUACUUCAGAGACGGCAAGCGGGCGGUCGAAGGCGUGGUGGUCGCUCGGGUCGUCGUGCCGUUCGGCGGCGUCAGUGCAACACGGGCCGCCGGAUCAGAGGGCUUUCCAUCGGGUUCCGGUAUUGAACUCGAGCAUCGCCGGAUUGAAACAGAAAUGGAGCCGGCAAGAGGAGGGCCGAGACGGAACCAGCAGAGGGAAGAGGGUGAUGAACAGUAAAUGUCCAAUCACCUUCUUUCCCUUCUGCUCCCUUUUUCACUUUUCUCCCUUUCUGCCUUUUUAACUUUUCUCCCUUUCUCUUCUCUUUCUCUCUGCAGAAGCGAAAGCUUCUCUUGACUUUUCCUUUUUUGUGUUUUCUUUUUCCUUCAACGAAAAAUGAAGAGAAGCCCCCCCUACAAACCGAAGCCUCGGCUUCUCUUUUAUAGAAGAAAAACUUGAAAUUGUUGAAGAUCCGGCGAUAUUCACUCAACCUCUUCAACAAAGAAAUGGCUCCAAAAAUCCGGCCGUUGAAUUAUUUUGAAUUCAAUUUUUUUUUUUUCAAAAUUUCCCUCUACAACCA